UACGUAGGCGGCUUAUUAAGUCAGAUGUGAAAGCCCCGGGCUUAACCUGGGAACUGCAUUUGAUACUGGUAAGCUAGAGUAUGGUAGAGGGGGUAGAAUUCCUAGUGUAGCGGUGAAAUGCGUAGAUAUUAGGAGGAAUACCAGUGGCGAAGGCGGCCCCCUGGACCAAUACUGACGCUGAGGUACGAAAGCGUGGGUAGCGAACA
rnacentral:rRNA from 1 species